rfam:Phaseolus vulgaris cultivar G19833 chromosome 2, whole genome shotgun sequence.
AAGGGUCAUGUGAUGAUCAUAAGCAUAGUUCAGAUGAUUUAUCUGUGAUUAUAUUUAGUUUUAGUCUUUCGCUCCUAUCCGAUGACCCUU